GAGAUUCCCCUAGUAACGGCGAGUGAACGGGGAAGUGCCCAUCGCUUAAUCCGACGCCUCCCUGGGCGUUACGGAUAUUUGGCGUAUGGGAGAGACACUUCCGGAAUCGUACUCUGGUGCAAGUCCCCGUGACUGGGGCUCUUGUCCCGAGAGGGUGCGAGGCCCGUAGCGGCCGGAACUCGGUUCCGGAUGUCCUCUCCUGGGAGUCGGGUUGCUUGAGAGUGCAGCCCUAAUCGGGUGGUAAACUCCAUCUAAGGCUAAAUACGACCUCGAGACCGAUAGCGAACAAGUACCGUGAGGGAAAGUUGAAAAGGACUUUGAAGAGAGAGUUCAAGAGUACGUGAAACCGUUCGGAGGUAAACGAGUGGGCCUUCGAAGGAAGGCAACGAGGGGAUUCAGUCAAGGGUGUUCGAGUGGCUUUCACGAUUCGCUUCCUCAAAAGGACGAGUCGGGUUAGUUGGCAAGUCUCGGAACCAGCGCCGCAUUUCCUCUCGUUCUCUGACGCUGCGACCGGUCGGGUGCGCUACGAGCAGUCGGCUUUACUCACUGGGGACGGCAGGUAGCCGGAGCGACGUCAAGGCGGCGUUCUGGUGUUAAGCCACCUCGUAAUCGCGGCCGUUCACCCGACCGAAGGACAAGGCCCUCAGGGGCUUGUCCGCGUCUUUCCCGUUUCGGGGAGCGUGUUCUUUUUUGCUGGCAGGGAUGUCUCCGUUCUCCGUCGUUUUCACCGCCAGGUGUCCGAUGGGCGGUGGCGCUCGUUGGUUGGCAAAUUAGCGUGCAGACGCUGGCGGUCCGCAGCGAGUAGGUCGGUCACCCACUCGACCCGUCUUGAAACACGGACCAAGGAGUUUAACAUGCACGCGAGUCAUUGAGACUUGCACUGGCUCAAAGGCGAAAUGAAAGUGAAGGUCGGCUUUCGCCGUCCGCGUUGGGAUCCGGGAUCGCGUUGUUCCGGCGCACCAACGUCUCGUCCAGGCCGCCACGUCGGUUGGGCGAAGCGAGAGCGUGCACGUUGAUACCCGAAAGAUGGUGAACUAUGGCUGGGCAGGACGAAGUCAGAGGAAACUCUGAUGGAGGUCCGCAGCGGUUCUGACGUGCAAAUCGAUCGUCAGACCUGGCUAUAGGGGCGAAAGACUAAUCGAACCAUC
rnacentral:rRNA from 1 species